GAGGGUAUAGCUCAAGUGAGAGCACAUGUUUAGCAUGCAUGAGGUCCUGGAUUCAAUCCCUAGUACCUCUU
rnacentral:tRNA from 1 species